rnacentral:piRNA from 1 species
CCUCAGAAAGGAGGGAAUAAGCCAGAUAAU